UGUAAUUUUGAUCAUGGCCAUUUCAAGGCAUUUGAAACGGGAUUCGUUGCCGGGUUGGGCCACCAUGAACUUGCACAGUCACCUCAGGAGGCCGAGCCUUCAGAGAUGACAGCAUUCAGCCUCAGGAGGAGCCUGCAAUUCACCCACGGUCUUCCCAGUAUAUCCCUUCCAUGGGGAUACAAGACAGUAAGGAGCUAAACAGAACCUGCUGUCUGAAUGGGGAACCUGCAUGCUGGGGUUCUUUUGUGUCUGAGCCCUGUCCUUCUAUGGACAGACCUGUGAAUAUUACAUGCACAAUGAGAGCCGUAGGUUUGAGCCCCGUGACACCCAGCUGUCCAAGAAGUGUUCCCUGUGUAAAUGCUGACAUGGACAGCUCCGCUGCUUGCCUCAGGCAUUUCUACCUGGGUGUGACGGCCUUGUGAUGGACAAGCACCUCAAGGACCAGGACUCCAAAACUACCACUGUCUUCAUGUACCACUUUUAUGCUGGCAUCUGCCUUUCUAUACAAAGUUGCUAUUAA
rnacentral:lncRNA from 1 species